UGAAACUCAAUAGCUCAGUUGGUAGCACAUGAGACUCUUCAUCUAAGGGUUGUGGGUUCAAAACCCACAUUGGUCAA